GACAGAGGGUGCAAACGUUGUUCGGAAUUACUGGGCGUAAAGCGCGUGUAGGCGGCCAUCUAAGUCGGGCGUGAAAUCCCACGGCUCAACCGUGGAAGUGCACUCGAAACUGGAUGGCUAGAGUCCUGGAGAGGAAGGUGGAAUGCUUGGUGUAGAGGUGAAAUUCGUAGAUAUCAAGCGGAACACCGGUGGCGAAGGCGGCCUUCUGGACAGUGACGUGACGCUGAGACGCGAAAGC
rnacentral:rRNA from 1 species